rnacentral:rRNA from 1 species
AACGAACGCUGGCGGCAGGCUUAACACAUGCAAGUCGAGCGAGACCUUCGGGUCUAGCGGCGGACGGGUGAGUAACGCGUGGGAACGUGCCCUUCUCUACGGAAUAGCCCCGGGAAACUGGGGGUAAUACCGUAUACGCCCUUCGGGUGCAAGAUUUAUCGUAGAAGGAUCGGCCCGCGUUGGAUUAGGUAGUUGGUGGGGUAAUGGCCCACCAAGGCGAGGAUCCAUAGCUGGUUUGAGAGGAUGAGCCGCCACACUGGGACUGGGACACGGCCCAGAAUCCUACGCGAGGGAGGAGUGGGGAAUCUUAGACAACGGGGGCAAUCCUGAUGGAGCCAUGCCGGGUGAGUCAUGAAGGCCUUAGGGUUGUAAAGCUCUUUAAGCUGGGGAGAUAAUGACGGUACCAGAAGAAGAAGCCCCGGCUAACUCCGUG